ACCAAGCCUAUUCUCGCUAAAAGAAAACCUUUCUUCUUAUAUUUAUUUAAAAAAACCCAUAUCAAAUUUCUGCAAAUCUGUGAAGAUAAAAUGAAAUAAAAAGUGUGCAGUGCUUGGUACAAACUGUGCAAGGAUUAUCCUGCCACCGUGGAGGGUCAUAUUUAUGGACUAUGCCUUUAUAGAAAAGCGUUUUGGUUGGGCGAUGGAAGAAGCAACCCGAAAGUUGUGUAAGGAUGCUAUUGAUAGAAGCCAAGGGCAGUUGGUUGACAUCACUAUGUUGGAGUUUUGUGAUGAGGAUUUGCUUCAGUAUGUUGCUGAUAGAUCAAGUCAGCUUAAGCGUCUUGAAAUUGGAUUUCUCGAAUUUGGUGACAUAUCUGGAAUCUGGACUGAAGUGUUGAAGAAGCUUCCAUUAUUGGAGGAAUUCAGUGUUUAUAAAACAGAUAUACCAAAAGAAAUUAUUGCAACUUUAGGCUCUUGUUGCCCCAUGCUAAAAUAUUAGAACUUAAUGACACAUAUCCAUCGGUGGAUGAUGAGAUGGCCAUAGCUAUCGUAGGAAGCUUACCUGAGUUACAGCAUCUUGAACUCACUUGGAGCAAUGUGUCAAAUAUUGGGUUGCAGGCGAUUCUUGAUGGUUGUCUUCAUCUUGAAUCACUUGACUUGCGUAUGUGCCUCAUUGAUCUCGAGGGAGAGCUAGGGAAAAGAUAUUCACGACAGAUUAAAUGUCUACAACGACCCAAUGAUCUUAUAGACAUAUGUCGCUAUGCAGAGUCGGUUGAAUAUACCACUUUGGAGGAACUUUUGAACCCCUUUUGAGAAAGCUGCCAACCAUUGAGUCCACAAAGAAGAAAAUAUGAUGGAUGCUUGGGAGUUGAUUGGCAUUUGGAGGCAAAUCAUGUACAUAAACAUCCAGUAUGCUAGAAUUAGGAUCAUUUUAUAGAUCUCCAGUUUGUUUUAAUUGUUUUCCAUUCUCUGAGUUACCUGUAUGACCUUUUAACUUAUCAAGCUAGCACUUAGUUAUUAGUACCACUCUGAUGAAUUUUGCCGAUUAUAGAUAGUUUUAAGUGUUGCAUAUUACUACUACCUGCUUGCUUUGCUACUUGAGUAUUAGUCUUGUUGAUUAAAAUAUUAUAUCAGAAUUUUGUGAUGA